UAUUUCUUUUACUCAGAAGUUUUUCUGAAGUUACUUUAUUUGUAAGGUUAAGAUAUUUAAUUUUAUCCGAUAUCCUGAUAACUUAGAAACAGCCCCAUGGCUAGAAAAGAGGAACUGGAGGGGAGGAAAGGUGCAAGUAGUUACCAUUGUAAUUAUUGAAAUGGGAUGUCUUGAUGAGAAUUAAAGUUACAUAAGUAGAUGCUUUGUGGGAGAGAAGAAUCCAGUAUAGUUGAGAUUUUCUCUUUUAUGACUAUGAUUAUAUGAUAAAGGUUACAUGAAGAGAGGUCAAGCAAUUUUUUUGUUGAUUCUUACUCUACAGAUCUUUUCCAGGAAGGUGUAUUGAUCAAAGGUAAAGAAAAAUAGUUUAUACAGUGGUGGUAGAGUUUCCAUUGAAUUGCAAGAUGGGUGAAAGAAGCUAACCAUCUAUUCCUUAAACUAAUACUUGAGCCCUUAUUUUGUUCUAGGCUCUCAAAGUUUUAGAUUUUGGAUUAACUCAAUUUUAUUGGGGUUAGAAGAGCUAUCUUUUUUUAAAUUAUUAUUGACUUAGGAAAAGACAGGGAGAGAGAGAAACAUCAAUAAUGAGAGAGAAUCAUUGAUCGGCUGACUCCUGCUCACGCCCUACUGAGAAAUGAGCCCAUAACCAAGAUAUAUGCCCUUGGCCAUAAUCAAACCUAGAAUCCAAACCAGCUAGGGCAGGAGUUAUCAUUUUGCCUCCCCCCUUUCUUUCGUUUUUUAAAAAUAUUCCUGAGCAAUGCUGCACCUUCUUGGAAAGGCAUGUGAUUAAGAGAAUAAGAGGAUUCUGGGCUACUUGGAAAAGCUAAGAGAUGGCUCUUUUGUGUUGCCUAAGGUGACAUUUUAAAUAAGAAGAAAGUUUGCAUUUGCUCAGAUCACCUUUGUUGGUUGUAUCUUUCUUGAGUGGACUGAUUAUAUUAUAGUUACUAGGAGGAGUGUGUGUGUGUGUGUGUGUGUGUGUGUGUGUGUUUAAAGAUGUGAUUGAGAGACUAU